GAUGAAGAACGCAGCGAAAUGCGAUAAGUAAUGUGAAUUGCAGAAUUCAGUGAAUCAUCGAAUCUUUGAACGCACAUUGCGCCCGUCAGUAUUCUGGCGGGCAUGCCUGUUCGAGCGUCAUUACGCCCCUCAAGUCCCCUGUGGACUUGGUGUUGGGGAUCGGCGAGGCUGGUUUUCCAGCACAGCCGUCCCUUAAAUUAAUUGGCGGUCUCGCCGUGGCCCUCCUCUGCGCAGUAGUAAAACACUCGCAACAGGANNNNNNCGCGGUCCACUGCCGUAAAACCCCCCAACUUUUUAUAGUUGACCUCGAAUCAGGUAGGACUACCCGCUGAACUUAAGCAUAUCAAUAAGCGGAGGA
rnacentral:misc_RNA from 1 species